UACGUAGGGUGCGAGCGUUGCCCGGAUUUAUUGGGCGUAAAGGGCGCGUAGGCGGCUCUGCACGUCCGUUGUGAAAUCGCCCGGCUCAACUGGGCGGGGUCAGCGGAUACGGCGGAGCUUGAGCAAGCUAGGGGGCAAUGGAAUUCCCGGUGUAGUGGUGGAAUGCGUAGAUAUCAGGAGGAACACCUGUGGCGAAAGCGGCUCACUGGACCACAACUGACGCUGAGGCGCGAAAGCUAGGGGAGCAAACAGG
rnacentral:rRNA from 1 species